CUUGGCGUUCACCUGGAAGGUUUCUGUUUGGCGUGCUCUGGUUUUUUGGCGUGCUCCGGUAGCUUCAUGUGCUUGCCGUGCUUCGUGUGUGGUCAUUUUUAAGACUGUGACUGCUACUGGGGUGCUCAAAUGCUCUUCGUUCGGCUGUUGAAGCCACAGCGGUUCCUGCAUUUCUCCUCCUGCGCUCCGUGUGAGGCCACACUGCGCAGCUCAGUGACGUGCGCCACAGCGGCUAUCCAAGCGUAAACUGUUUGCAGCCUCCAGCCCUGGUGCGGACACUACGUUUUUGACUCCG